rnacentral:rRNA from 1 species
CCUACGGGAGGCAGCAGUAGGGAAUCUUUCACAAUGGGCGAAAGCCUGAUGGAGCAACGCCGCGUGCAGGAUGAAGGCCUUCGGGUUGUAAACUGCUUUUAUAAGCGAGAAAUAUGAUGGUAACUUAUGAAUAAGGAUCGGCUAACUACGUGCCAGCAGCCGCGGUCAUACGUAGGAUCCGAGCAUUAUCCGGAGUGACUGGGUGUAGAGUUGCGGAGGUGGCAUAAUAAGUAGCUAGUGAAAUCUGGUGGGUCAACCAUUCAGACUAUUAGCUAAACUGUUAAGCUCGAGUCCGUUAGGGGUAAGUGGAAUUUUUAGUGUAGGAGUGAAAUCCGUAGAUAUUAGAAGGAACACCAAUAGCGUAGGCAGGUUACUGGGACGGUUCUGACGCUAAGGCGCGAAAGCGUAGGGAGCAAACGGGAUUAGAUACCCUAGUAGUC